UACGAAGGGGGCUAGCGUUGUUCGGAUUUACUGGGCGUAAAGCGUCGUGUAGGCGGACUUGUAAGUUGGGGGUGAAAUCCCGAGGCUCAACCUCGGAACUGCCUCCAAAACUACAAGUCUGGAGCAAGAUAGAGGCAAGUGGAAUUGCGAGUGUAGAGGUGAAAUUCGUAGAUAUUCGCAGGAACACCAGUGGCGAAGGCGACUUGCUGGAUCUUGCUGACGCUGAGGCACGAAAGCGUGGGGAGCAAACAGGG
rnacentral:rRNA from 1 species